rnacentral:rRNA from 1 species
CUUCUGACCGGUCUACUCGCCGCGUUGCAGGCCAGCAUCGUCUGGUGCCGCUGGAUAAGACUUGAGGAAUGUAGCUCCCUCGGGAGUGUUAUAGCCUCUUGUGAUGCAGCGAGCGCCGGGCGAGGUCCGCGCUUCGGCUAGGAUGCUGGCGUAAUGGUCGUAAUCCGCCCGUCUUGAAACACGGACCAAGGAGU